UGCGAAUGCUGACAUGAGUAACGAUAAUGUGGGUGAAAAGCCCACACGCCGGAAGUCCCAGGUUUCCUGCACGACGUUAAUCGGAGCAGGGUGAGUCGGCCCCUAAGGCGAGGCUGAAGAGCGUAGUCGAUGGGAACCAGGUUAAUAUUCCUGGACUUUUUAUAAGUGGUGAAGUGGGGACGAAGAAGGCUAGGUGAGCCAGGCGUUGGUUGUCCUGGUACUUGCAUGUAGGGGGGAAGACUUGGCAAAUCCGGUUUUCCGAUACUCUGAGGUGCGAAGUGGUUCUGACCUUUUGGUACAGAGAAGUCAUUGAUGCCCGGCUUCCAGGAAAAGCUGCUAGCCAUAACUUAUAGAGAACCGUACCGCAAACCGACACAGGUGGACAGGUAGAGAAUACUAAGGCGCUUGAGAGAACUCGGGUGAAGGAACUAGGCAAAAUGGUACCGUAACUUCGGGAGAAGGUACGCCCUUUCUGGUGAUGGGAUUUACUUUCAGAGCUGGAGAGGGCCGCAGAGACCAGGUGGCUGCGACUGUUUAUUAAAAACACAGCACUCUGCAAAUUCGUAAGAAGACGUAUAGGGUGUGACGCCUGCCCGGUGCCGGAAGGUUAAUUGAUGGGGUUAUCUUCGGAGAAGCUCUUGAUCGAAGCCCCGGUAAACGGCGGCCGUAACUAUAACGGUCCUAAGGUAGCGAAAUUCCUUGUCGGGUAAGUUCCGACCUGCACGAAUGGCGUAACGAUGGCCACACUGUCUCCACCCGAGACUCAGUGAAAUUGAAAUCGCUGUGAAGAUGCAGUGUACCCGCGGCUAGACGGAAAGACCCCGUGAACCUUUACUAUAGUUUUGCACUGGACUUUGAUGAUGACUGUGUAGGAUAGGUGGGAGGCUGUGAAGUGAGGACGCUAGUUCUCAUGGAGCCGCCCUUGAAAUACCACCCUGUUGUUAUUGAGGUUCUAACUUGGUCCAGUAAUCCUGGAUGAGGACAGUGUAUGAUGGGUAGUUUGACUGGGGCGGUCUCCUCCCAAAGAGUAACGGAGGAGCACAAAGGUACCCUCGGUACGGUCGGACAUCGUACCAAGAGUGUAAAGGCAAAAGGGUGCUUGACUGCGAGAGUGACGGCUCGAGCAGGAACGAAAGUUGGUCUUAGUGAUCCGGUGGUUCUGAAUGGAAGGGCCAUCGCUCAACGGAUAAAAGGUACUCCGGGGAUAACAGGCUGAUACCGCCCAAGAGUUCAUAUCGACGGCGGUGUUUGGCACCUCGAUGUCGGCUCAUCACAUCCUGGGGCUGAAGCAGGUCCCAAGGGUAUGGCUGUUCGCCAUUUAAAGUGGUACGCGAGCUGGGUUUAGAACGUCGUGAGACAGUUCGGUCCCUAUCUGCCGUGGGCGUAGGAAAAUUGAGAGGAGCUGCUCCUAGUACGAGAGGACCGGAGUGGACGAACCUCUGGUGCACCGGUUGUCACGCCAGUGGCAUGGCCGGGUAGCUAAGUUCGGACGGGAUAACCGCUGAAAGCAUCUAAGCGGGAAGCCUCCCUCAAGAUGAGUUUUCCCAUGAAGCCCGUUGAAGACUACGACGUUGAUAGGCA
rnacentral:rRNA from 1 species